rnacentral:rRNA from 1 species
UACGAAGGGGGCUAGCGUUGUUCGGAAUUACUGGGCGUAAAGCGUGCGCAGGCGGCUUCUCAAGUCAGGGGUGAAAGCCCAGAGCUCAACUCUGGAAUUGCCUUUGAGACUGAGUGGCUUGAGUACGAGAGAGGUGAGUGGAAUUCCCAGUGUAGAGGUGAAAUUCGUAGAUAUCAAGUGGAACACCGGUGGCGAAGGCGGCCAUCUGGACGGUGACUGACGCUGAGACGCGAAAGCGUGGGUAGCAAACAGG